AUUACCACGCCGAUCACCCUUUUCGAGCCGCUUCAGACGAUGCGAGGACGAACCACCAUGAAAAGAAGUCAAAGAAGGAAGCAGAGGGCCAAGGAAGAGAUCAAUAGGUACCGAAGGCAUACUGAAUGCUCUUCGAAACCCUAAUUUUCGUAGGGUCUAACAAAACCUCAGAUUUGCGAGCCAAGAGCUUGAAGAAAACUUUGUAAAGAAAUCGAAAAUGUGAGAAUCAAAACACAAAGGUUGAGAACAUGAGAACCUGAAAUCGUUGAAUCAAAAGGACAAGCCGGAAAUCAUCUGAUCCGUAACAUGAUGAAAAAGAUCGGCGGAGAUGCGGCGGCGGCGGAGGCGGAGGCGGAGGUGAAUCGGAUAAUUUUGGGAGGAUGAGGUCGAAAAUGGUGGCGGAAUUGGG
rnacentral:misc_RNA from 1 species